AUGCCCCCCGUGACUUCUCAGCUUUGUCUCUUUCCAAAAAUUAACACUGUUCACUCUCCCCCAAGGCAUAAAGUCUCAGGCUCAGGGCAAUCGGCCCUGUGGGGAGGAUCUCAGCUCCUCGCAGCACUCUCAGCGGGAGAUUCUGUUGUUAACCACACAGAACAGAGACCAGAGAGAUCCCUGGGAUGCGCCAGCCAGAGGCCAUGCUGCUGCUGCUCACCCUCGCCCUCCUGGUGGGCCCCACCUGGGCAGGGAGUAAGUCGGCGGGGUCUGUGCCCGAUCUCCCCUCCCUCCCUCCAGAAUAACUGGUCACAGAACCACCCUGUCUGGCUAGAGGGGUGGGUCCCCUGUUCUGGCAGAGGUCGCCCCCAUAUCAUGGCGUGGGGAUUUCCCCCCUGCUUGGUUUUCUCUUCCCUGCAGAGAUGUAUGGCCCUGGAGGAGGGAAAUAUUUCAGCACCACGGAAGACUAUGACCAUGAAAUCACAGGACUGCGGGUAUCUUUGGCUCUUUUGGUGAAAAGGUGAGUAGGGCCGUGGUCAUGGGCCCCACGUCAUGUCCCAACCCCUCCCACAGUUUCAGGAACUCAGGGCAGGGGUGGGCGCCUGUAGGCACUUUUCCCACUUCCUGCCCGGCUCCUGCCAAUGCUUCCUGCCUUGAGCAGAGAAGGUCAGAUGACUGUCCCCCCACCUUCUCCGUUCAACCCAAACUCAACUCAACCAAAAAUGGCCCCUCCAUCCCCAUGCCUGAUAGGAAGGUCAGGGGAAAGUCUGUCCACUUACUGUCAGAGACAGGAGGUGAGGGUCAGAGUGGACCACCGACUGAACAUGAGUCACAGAAGUGUUAGAGGCAGAAAUCC
rnacentral:lncRNA from 13 species